GAGCUAAGUGCUCUGGUAUAGUGGUGAUUAUUUGCAUUGAAGGUUGGCGAUAACAAUACACAGUUCUCCGUGCCACACAGAUUUACUCUGCUGUGAUGGCCUUGAACAAUCUGCUACAUC